UACGUAGGGUGCAAGCGUUAAUCGGAAUUACUGGGCGUAAAGCGUGCGCAGGCGGUUUUGUAAGUCUGUUGUGAAAUCCCCGGGCUCAACCUGGGAAUGGCAAUGGAGACUGCAAGGCUAGAGUUUGGCAGAGGGGGGUAGAAUUCCACGUGUAGCAGUGAAAUUCGUAGAUAUCGGGAGGAACACCAGUGGCGAAGGCGGCGAUCUGGGUCGAUACUGACGCUGAGGUGCGAAAGCGUGGGGAGCAAACAGG
rnacentral:rRNA from 1 species